rnacentral:lncRNA from 1 species
GAGAAGACUGUCCUGGCCUCAGGGAGAUAGGGAAAAGCCUGGACCUCAGUUCUUCCCUCUCCUGCUGCCCUGGAAGGGCGAGAAAGAGGAAGGUAUCUGCGUUCCCAGGGGAGAAGUCAGCUUCUUCGGCAGCGCUUCCUCUGACAGGGCCUGGUCUCCAGACUCUCGGCACCAGGUGUAGCUGUGCCAGGAGGGGGCACAGGGGAUUUCCAGUGGUUGCAGUUCAUGCUCAGAACCCAGCCCAGCUUGUUAUGCAGCACUUGCUUGAGGCCAGGUGGCAAGGGCAGGCCCUCGAGGGUGUCCCCUGAAUUUGGCCGCAGUUGGCGCAAGCGGUAGCAGCACAGGUACUGCAGGGAUGUGGAGCUGGCGCAGGAGCGGAUGACUUUCAUGCUGCUCUUGGCAGCCGUGGAGCAAACCAUCGGGUAGAACCUUCUGUUUUGAAGCCGAGUAGCAGCCACUCCUGGGAGGAAGGCUUAGCCUGAGUGCCAUGUGGGUUGGGAGCCAGGAAGCUCCUCCUACAAGGCACCACGGUAAGCAGCUCAAAUAGUCUGAACACAGAAAAUACUCUGGUCUGGCCUGGUAACCCCAAUCUGCUUCAGGCCUGCCCACCCUCCCUCAUCUGUCAGGAGCCUCAAGUCAGACUGCCUGGCCCCACCCCUAAAGGCUCUACAAAGGUACCUCACCUAUGCACUUCCUGUUCUUGAAGAAUGUCAGUGUCCCAUGCCAGGUGUCCAAGUGCACACCAAUAAUGGAGCCCUGGCCAAAGCGUGAAGAGAAGCUCGUCUUGUCACCUUUGUGGUGGAGGAGCCCUGCGAGGAGCAAUGGGGUGAUCCUGGGAGGUCUGCUGUACUGCCAGCCCCACCCAUGACCCAGGCAACACCUACCAGUGUAGGAGAGCCCCCAGCUGUCCUCAUCCCUGCCCAGCAGGCUGCAGAACGUGUGGUGGUACUUGUCCAGGUCUACAUCCGACGUCCCAAUGCCCACCAUCUGUAAAUAGUGGGCCUGGACAGUUAGAUGCCUAGCGGCAGGGCCCAUGGCAUCUACCCUCUUGCUUGGCCAUUUACCAUGUCUGUGCCAUACACUGGAGAGGUCAUCUUGAUUUCCCAGAAGUGUUGGCCAUCCCCUAGCUCCUUGGUGCCCCGAAUGGCUGCAGUGCCACAGCUAUACUCCAUGUGAAAGCUGACCUUGCGAUUAUCACAGCUCAGCAAGGUGGCUGAGGACUUGUUCAGGUCAUCCCAGACCCAAUCAAAAUCUGUAAGACAGAGGGCCUAAACUAGGGAGGGCUACAGCUAAACGGUGCCUGCCUGGUCCCAGGGAACCUGCCCAGCCCUCCACACGUCCCAGCGGCAAGACACGUACCCUCAUCCUCCUCACCACACCGGCAGUCCUUGCCACGGUGUGCUGUGUGCAGACUGUUGCAGAAGGUAGCCUCAUUCUGGCCCUCGCAGUCACAGAAGGACUCUCCUGUCACAGGCACAGCACUGGGGAUGGAUGGUGGCAGGGAGGAGUACUCAGGGUCAGAGUCGGAGUCGCUGUGCUGGAAGGGAGGGAAGGGGUAGGUCACUCUGUUUAUGACAAAUCCCUUCUCAAAUCCACCAGAGAAGCAGCCAGACACCUGGCGCUCUCCAGUGCUCAACAUAAUCAACCUGAGUGCUAAGACUCCAAUGAGAUGGGAGGUGGCCCUAGGGGAAUGGCUUCUUACUUGGCUUCCUCUGCCCCAUUUCCCCCCAGAAGGUCUGACUACCAUAGGCCACACAGCAUCCACUACCUGUCUUCCCUGGGUAGUUCAUGGUCUCCUAAAGCCCAGGGCUGCUGCUGUCAACAAGGUCUAGCAUCUGGCUCCACUCAGGCUAAGACAUGGGAUGUGUGUCUCCAUCCCCUGCAAGGGCACUGGAAUCAAGAGGAGCAAGCAUGCUCCACAAGGUCUAAUGGACUAAUGCUCCAAGCUGCAGCAAACUCUUCCAAAGAUGCUCUCAGGCCUCAGAACCUAGCUGGGGGUGAGGACACAGCUGAGCUGGUCAAGUUCCAGCCACUGACUGACCAAUCAACUCUUGCUAUUCAGCUGCUCUGCAGGCCCUUGGAUCCCUGUUUUGGUGCUAGGGUUCAGGCUAGCUGACUUGACAGUCCCUGAAGUUUUGGCCUCUACUUCCUGAGCUGCCCUGCUGUGCUCCACACAGUGGUCCAGGAGCCCCUCUAAUGGCGACCACAUCACAGUUCUAACACCCACCCUGAAGUUAGAUCUAUUUACAGCCAUAUAGCCAUCCUGCACUUCUCUACAAGGAAGCAUUCAACCACCAAGAGGAGCUUGGACCACGUUCACUCUGUAUUCUUUCUCUUCACAAUACUCAGGGUGUCCACC